UUCCAGGAAGAAGAAACAACUGGCAUCAGCAAAGAUCUGGAGUCAUGAAACUACCCCCGAGGAUGGCUGGGAAAAGAAGAUCCAGGAACUGCUGGUGUCUGUACUAGUUACCGCCCUGAUAGGAAAGGCAGAAGCCAUAGCUCUCACCAAACCUCCAGCAUUUAAACUUUGCUGUGGAGUCUACGUGACCCCACCACGAGGUGACCCUCACCUUUCCCUCCAUACCUGGGGAGACAGACAUGGCAGUGGUCACUGAACCCUGGGAUGACACGCUACCUCAUCCUUUAUGACACCCUUUGAUAUGUUGCUUUUGAUGCAUUUCUUUGUAUCCCAUUUGGUUUCAUUUUUAGCAAUAAACUCAUUCUUGGUA
rnacentral:lncRNA from 10 species